rnacentral:rRNA from 1 species
AGAUUGAACGCUGGCGGCAGGCCUAACACAUGCAAGUCGAGCGGUAGAGAGGUGCUUGCACCUCUUGAGAGCGGCGGACGGGUGAGUAAAGCCUAGGAAUCUGCCUGGUAGUGGGGGAUAACGCUCGGAAACGGACGCUAAUACCGCAUACGUCCUACGGGAGAAAGCAGGGGACCUUCGGGCCUUGCGCUAUCAGAUGAGCCUAGGUCGGAUUAGCUAGUUGGUGAGGUAAUGGCUCACCAAGGCGACGAUCCGUUAACUGGUCUGAGAGGAUGGAUCAGUCACACGUGGAACUGG